UACGGAGGGAGCUAGCGUUGUUCGGAAUUACUGGGCGUAAUGCGCACGUAGGCGGCUUUGUAAGUUAGAGGUGAAAGCCCGGGGCUCAACCCCGGAACUGCCUUUAAGACUGCAUCGCUUGAAUCCAGGAGAGGUGAGUGGAAUUCCGAGUGUAGAGGUGAAAUUCGUAGAUAUUCGGAAGAACACCAGUGGCGAAGGCGGCUCACUGGACUGGUAUUGACGCUGAGGUGCGAAAGCGUGGGGAGCAAACAGG
rnacentral:rRNA from 1 species